CCACUCUAUAGCCACAAAUAAUGCUCAGAACAGCACCUAACUUCAUCAACAGGACAUAUAGGGUCACAGACAUAGUACUAGACACCAAACAUCUUUUUAACUUUGACUCAUUUCUUUAGCAAAGAGACUAAACACAACUCACCUACUCUCUUCCAGCAGACGCUUGUUUGUAGUGAGACCUCAGGCCAGGCCAUUACGGACUACAGCGGGGUGCCGCAGCUCAAGGAAGAACAAUUAUGAUCAUUUCUUUAUCAUUUCCUUGAAGUAAUAAUCAUCAUAUUAAUCCUUUUGCUCUGCAGACGCAGUAGUUCUUCUGCCUUAGCGUCUCGGUCUGAUUGUGUUUCCAUGAAGAAAUGAUCAUAAAUGUUCUUCCUUGAGCUGCGGCACCCCGCUGUAGUCGAUGGACUCGCCCAGGGUUUCCGUACAAACAAGCGGCUGCUGGAAGAGAGUAGGUGACUACUGUAUUUCUAUCCUCGGUCGUUACUAAAGUUACUAAAGAAGCAAGCGGUCGGCAACAUUUACUGUAUCUCUCGACGGGGUGUCUAACUCGAUGUUACGGUGUGUUUGACCAUAACUGAAUUUUAUGCUUGGAUAUCCCUUUAUUGCUAGAAAGAGCCACACAGCUGCAUGGAAAUUGCACAUUGCUGAACACACGAUUUCUUCAAGCAGAUCUUAACAGAUAACAGAUUACUUGUUCAAUGUUCUUUUGCAGUUACAAGUGAUUGUGAAAACAUACCUCUGUGUCCUCUUAUCUUAUCUUUUACAGUAAGAAAUGUUUUUCAGUAAUGUACCGGCCGAGAUACCUGCAACAAUAUUUCUACAAAAGAAGAUAUUUCAAGGAUCGCUGUAUCGCACUUUCAGCUGGACUCUCUUUAAGAUCCUCCGAUCAAGCACACAAGUGAACUCUACUGUAUAUAGUUGUCAGUAUUCUUGGACAAGCCUGUUUGUUAUUCAAGAAAACAUGUUCCUCUGAAUAUUUACAGUGAGAGGGCUGUGAUUGACCUUUUAACUGAAAUAGCUCUCCUAAUGAGAUGCUAUCGAUUAGUUUAUGCAAUUAUCCUCCCUGCAGUCUAUUAGGUAAUCAAGACUCUGUGUGUGUGUGUGUGUGUGUGUGUGUGUGUGUGUGUGUGUGUGUGUGUGUGUGUGUGUGUGUGUGUGUGUGUGUCUACAAGGCUGCGUGUCACGAGGUAAGGAGGUGACUUAGACAUGAAGGUGUUUGCUGCAGCCGCAGAUUUAACCCUCAGUUGGAUAAUUGUUAGCGAUUAGCCACAACAUAAUUAUUGGAUUCCAACAAAACAGGAGUGGAUGUGUCACAGGCCCUGAGAGGUCGAGCUUUUCUCCAACCUGUUUACACGUUUCCAUUCAUGAGACAGCUGCUGAUGAAUGAGUGCUGAUGGAAAUAAGCCCCCGCUGGAGUCAUUACUCCAAACUUGUCAAUACGCCUGAUCACUUCUCAAGGAAACUUCGUUUCAGUCGUGUGUGUUUACGCUCGAGAUCGUCAGGUGGGACAUGUCCCUGACUGAGGAGGACAACCCGUCUCAGACGUGUUCUUACAGUAGAAGCUUUUACACUUACUCAUACUUUAUUUCACACAUGCUCUUUAGUGAGUCCUUUAUUUUGUGUUGAAGUUGAUGUUCUUUCAUUUUGGAGUAUUCACCGACACAAACCCCUUUGCAAGUUUACCUGUUUUUUGACUUUCAGAGUUCCCCAUUUAGUUGAAAAAAUCAGCCACUAGGGGGCGCCCCCCCUGCUUAUUUUCAGAUUUUCAACCAAAACAGGGUGCAAACAUUUCUGCCCACAAAAAACAAAGAUUUAUUCAACAGUCUGAAUAAUUUGUAUGAUUAUUAAUAAAUAGUUUUUAAGGUUUCUGUAAAUAUUAUGUUGCUGAAACUUUCUUUCUUUCCUCUCGAAAUUAGGGCAGCGAGGGGGAGGUAGAGCGUGCAGUAAGGUGACCAGAUGUCCCUGAUUUUCGGGGACAGUCCCCAUUUUGGAGGACCUGUCCCUGGAUAUGUCCCUGAUUUUAGCAUUUCAUGAAUGAGAAAAACAUGUUGCGUAUAGACUACAACAACGGUUACUAUGGUAGCCGAGUAGGUAGGAAGCGCAAGUAAGCAUGUUGCACACAGUCCUGAACAAUGAACAACAGUUUUUUUGGGGGGGUUAUUAUGGGGGGCAUGCGCUGCUACCGAGUAGUACCCCCGCUCUCCAGAAGUAGUGGGCCUAAAAUCACAUUUUGCUUGGCACCCCCCACCCCCUGGAUGUCCCCGGAUUUCAUUGCAGAAAUCUGGUCCCCUUAGCAUGCAGUCUAACUUUGUGAAACUAAAAUCAAGCUCAAACAGGUUCCUGAAGCAGGCUCUGUCCGCUCUGUUUUCUUUAACUUCUCUCCACCGACUCCCCUUCUAGUAUUUGUCUCUUCUCCUCCCUUUAAAGUGGGAGGAUAUGGGGAGGUAGAGCGUACAGCCUAACCAAUCAGGAGCAGCUUUAGCAGGCUUUUUGCCCUGACCUUUAUGGAUCAUUACGAGGUUCCAGUAAAUCACUUUUAUUCCACUGAUGCAUGGACACGUAUCUCCUACAUUAUAAACUACUUUUUAAAAAAAGAAAAAUGAAUACUUAAUGAUUUUAAAGUUCACGCGCUACACAUCUGCAUAAAUCUGCACAUUGCUGAACACAGUUUUAAACUUUCCACCCUCCUGAGAGUCUGCGGUAAUAAAGUAAAUAUUUUGAUUCUUAUAUUUUUCUACUCUGACAAACUUUUCAGUUUUUCCUGAUAUUUGUUCUGACUGAAAACACUUUCAGCAGCUUCAUCACCAAAUCUAAGGUUCAGGAUUGUUCAGCCUGUAAGCUCGCCUGACGACUCCCUCUCUGCCGCCGUGUUGUUUCAAAUUUUGAAUGUGAAAAUGAAAGUUGUCAAACUCCUCACCGAGACAUUUUCCUGCCAAAUAUGUGCAGCUGUAAUCCAGUUAUUGGUUCUGACCUGGUCUGAACUUCUGCUGUCCAGGAAAAAAAAACAAUCAGGGAAAGAAAACAUCAGGCUGAGAUUGACAGAGUAAAAACAUUUUCCAAUUACAGUACACGGUCUCUCACCUCCUUUAAUCCAUCUGACUGGUGACACUGUGGAUUUUUUACACGAUUAAAUAGGUUUCUGUGUUGUCAGCCAUUCCUGUGUGACCCCACGCACCUUCCUCACAACCCGCGGGCGUUAAAAAAAAACACACAUCUACAGUAAAAUCACGGCGUGCACCUCGGCAUCACCUCUUAUUCCCCAGCCCGGCAGCAGCACGCUGACAGGCGGCAUCACAGUUCAUUAUGUCUGUGCAGGAACAGGCUGCAAAGGGCCAGACAGACGCUCUCGCCGAAUUUCACCAUCCAGACCUGUCAGUGAAAUUAGAACAGACGCUGACAACUUCCCGGAGAGUUAUUUUUAUGUUUUUCAUUUCAAACUCGUCGGUGAAAAUGGCAGAAGUUUAAAUAACACUGACACGGGUUUCAGGACAUGUGUUUUGUUUGUUAAAGUCACGUUUCUACCCUGAAGCAGCGUUUGUUUUCAAGGCCUGUUUUUAUGUUCACUCGUUCAUCACUGUCACUGACUUCAAAGUUAAAUUCUCUUAACCAUCAAGCAAAACAUGGAAACUAGCGGCUCCGAUCUCUGAACAUGAAUCUUUACACUCAUAAUUUUCUUCAUAUGUCGCUUUUUCCCACUGCGCUUGUAGAGUUCCCUAAACAAACGUAAUAACUGACAGCUUGAAUCUGAGAUCUCACUUUCUCCACGUGUUAAACGUUUCUCUGUUGAGCUUCUUACACCCCUGCCAAACAAACAUGCUUUAGAUCUGUGCUUUGAGUUCCUUUUUUAUCCGUCAAGUCGCAUCCAGGUAGUAUAGGAAACUCUGCAUUUCACUGGGAUUAAUGUUUAAAGUUUCUGUAUAUGUAUAUUGGUCACAAGCCAUAUUAGGGCCUCAUUAAGGCUUUGAGAUUAAAGUCAUUACGAAUGAGAAUAAAGUCUUAAUAAAAUCAUUACUUAUGAGAAUUUAGUCUUAUGAGAGUAAAGUCAGAAUGAAGUCCUUAUACUCUAACCUGUAUAAUGAUUCUAUCACAACUUUAUUCUCGGAAGAAAUUACUUUAUUCUCGUAAGUUAACGACUUUAAUCUCUAAGUCUUAGUUUUUUUUUUGUUUUCUUCAUGUGGCACUAAUACUCCGUCAUAGUUUUGUAUCAUACAUCUAUAACUGGUUAUUUUCCAGAGGAAAGACUUGGGUUGUUUGACAAGUUUUGGGCAAUGUUACAAUGAAGCAGCAACUGCUGGUCUUGAGGAAGUGUUAAAAACUGCAGUUCCAUGAGUGUCCACUUGAGGCUGGCUGCAGAAACACCUGAAACCACAUACACAUGAACUCAAAAAGCCAGUUUUUAGAAACACGUUUAAAAGCUGGUUUGAGAAACUGUUUUAAUCCGGAUAGCUCAGGUCUGACUGUAGGCGAAGUGAGCUUCUUACACCCCUGCCAAUGUUGGUGCUCCCAUUCGACCCCUGUCUAAAAAGUCGGGACACACCCCUGGAUGCGUGCAACAAUAAAUGCUAUGAUAGAAACGCCAAAUCCUGCAAAUCUGGAACUAAAUGUUCGUAACUGAAUAUAAUGAUAAUAAAAUAAAUGAAUCGUGGGUGUUAAAGAGUCUUAUUUUCCUAAAUGUAGGUACAAAAUCAGCUGAGAUUGUACAGUUUGAAUCCAAACUUUAGAUCAAUCAAAAGCGGUCUUCUGACUGUCAGCUCUGAUAUUCUGAUCCGACACGUCUCUCCGGAGCACGGGGCCGUUUUUGUGUGUUUUUAAUUUAAACUUUGGGCUGAGGGAAUAAAGUCUACCUUAUUGCACCGUGGCGUCUUCAGAUCAAAUGCAGAGGCUGCGUUUCUGCUCGGCCCCCAAGACUCAAUUGAAGAGAUCUGAGAGUGCUGCUCAUUAAAGUAGGCGUUAAUUUGAGUUUGUUAACCAGCCUGGCGCGGCUUUCAUCUCGUUUUGAGACAGAAACAUCUUGCUGAAGUUGACAGGAAAGGAAGUUUUCUGUUAAAAGUCAGAGGCUGGAUCUUUGCCGGCGUGGAUGGAUUGUGAAAGCAGGGUGAAGGAGUCAGGCAGACAUUUUUCAGAAGUCCUUUUUUUAAUUAACUUUUAGAGGCUUUGAAGUGUGUUGAGUGAAGUGUGCGUCCAUGUCUGAGAGGAUGAGGGUAUUAAAGGGUCCAACGUCCCCUGAGAGACGGGGUCAUAAUGGGGUGUUUUUGAAGUUUUGACAUCCUUAUGUCAUUACGGUUAUUAUCAACAAAACUCAACUCAACUUCACGGCUUCUUUCAAACAUGCGGCCCCGUCUCACCUGGCAAAAUUAAUGCUGAAAUAUGACCAAGACACUUCAGAAGGAGAACAAAUUCUACUAAAGUGAACAAAACAACAACAUCAGACUGGGAACAGAAAUCAGUAAAAAGUACAAAUCAAAAUUCAAACUCUUAAAAGAAGUUGUAAAAAUGUUUUAUAAACUUUUAGUUGGGGUUCAAAAUGAUAGUUAUGUAAAGUAGAACGAACAAUGAGGGGUGUUUAUUCAGAUUAGACUUCCGACUGGUGUGGUGAGUCAUGGCCAAUCAGAAACGAGCAUUUAACACAACCAGUAAAUAAAACAGAAAAUUAAAUACAGGAGUCCUACACAGUUGUAACUUUUCCAUACUUUUCCAUACACUACUUUUUAGUGUUAUUCUUGUUAAUAACUCAUUUUCUGUUUUAGAACAGUGGUAUUUUAGAUUUGUGGUAAUAAUCUGGAAACAAAUAUUUUUCCAUUCUCUAUUUUUCAUUUUCAAUACUUCUUAAGACCUGGAAACUGAUCAAAUUUAUUUCCAUACUUUUCCAUACUAGUGCAGGAACCCUGUAAAUAUGAGUAAUUUUAAACUGUAAAGUGGAAAAACAGAUAAAUGAAUGAAUGAUCACAUUUAUGUAACAAUGUGGAGCAUUAAUCAAACAUAAAUGCACUUUUUAGUGUUUUUUCACAAUAAUUUGUUUUAUAUUUUUGAUGAAAAUUAGUUUUUAAAUUCUAAUUUUCAUGUAAUUAUUUUUAUAAAUCCACACCUAUGACUCUCUAACUGUAAAUAUACUUAUUAAUAAGUGUUUUUUUUUCACAAUAAUUAAUUAUAUAUUUUUUAUGAAAACUGAAGAUAAGUUUUUAAAUUCUAAUUUUCAUGUUAUUAUUAUUAUUUUUUUAAUAAAUCCACGCCUUUGACUCCAUAACUUCACUGUAAACAUACUUUGACAAAGGUGUCUCUGUAUAAUGCAGCUUUAUGUAUAAAACAUAUACAGCAUAUAAAAAGCUUCUUUCAUGGUGGCACAUCCAGAGCUGCUGUGGUGACUGUGUUAACAUCAGUGUCUUAUUUACACAUGGAGCAGACACACACACACACACACACACACGCUGACACACACACACACACACAUUAGCAUUUGUUUGUUGAUGUGUUUUUGGCCACCUGAUGAAUAUAAAUGACCUGAUAAUCAGCCUGAUUUCCAUUCGGUCUCUCUUCAGUCUGACAACGCCACCAUGUCAGACUCUCUCCUGCUGAGGGGUGAUUUUCUUUGUUUGAACCAAUCAGCAGCAGGUUACAGGUUCGGCAGAUAUGUGCUUGGCUCUCUUUAGUCGCUAUUUGCUGAAUUUAUCUGGAUGCUUCUUUGUAAACAGACAUUUUAUCGCUCUUAUCCCGCCGUUCGCUCGCACAUAGGGUGAGAAGUUGUGUGGAGACAACGCUUUUAUUGACUUGUAGGAGUGACACAUUCAGCUAUUAGCAAACAGAGGUGGUAUUGACUCGCAGUAAAUUACAGUAGGUGUUCACAGUAAAGAAAGAGCAUGUCCCAUAAUGCAAAAAGCUGCGUAUUGAUUAGUUUUUAAUAGUUUUUCGAAACAAUAAUGAAGUUUCAAAAACAUAAAUAGUUGGAUUCGCUCGUUUUUUUAGCGACCUUCACAAAGUUCAUCCUCCAAACUCUGUCCCUGCUCUUUUCUGCAAACUCUCCAGCUUUUGCAUCAUCACGCGGUGUCGUCAGGAUCCAGAAAUGUGUCUAAUCAGGACAGUUUCCAGUGUUUGAACUGCGGACCGUCCAUUCAGCAGGUUUCCCUCUUUCAAUUAGAGAAGCCGGAGAGUCAGGGUCAGGCAUUGUGAGGGCUCAGCCUUCAAAUUCAUCCAGCAAAAACCUUUUUAAUUAAAUCAUAUUUCCCUGAAAACAUCAGUAAGGACAUUUUUCCCCCCGCUAAGCCAGAGUGCAUUUAAAAAUAAUCCAUUUUGGAUGCUUUUGAACACAGGCCGUCCUGGCUCUGAGGACGGGGAGCUGCCUGCAGCCGGCUCCAAGUGUUGUUGGGAGAAGAGCUGGACAAACAGCGAGGAACUCAAGGUCAAGAUGCUGAGGCUGCAGGAAUACCAUCAGAGGUAAUGUCUUUCUAACUAACGACGGAAACUUUGGGCAGAGUUCGUGGCAGGUGACAAACUUUUCCCCUCCAGUACAUUUCACUGCGGCGUUGCUCUCGUCCUUUUCACCCUAAAAUUCAAACUAGUGAGAAAAUUUUCACCAAUUAAACGCAGUCUACUGUCUCUCAUCUCACUUAAAGGGAUAUUCUGACGUAAAAUUAAUUUAGGGUCGAACACACCGUAACAGCGAGUUAGACCUCCCUCCAGAGAUGAAUGUUGCCGACCGCUUGUUUCUCUCGUUAUACCAACUUUAGUAACGACCGCAUGAUAGCAAUACAAAGUGGUCUGAGGAGCCAUAAACAAACCUCAACCAAAACUAACUCUAUUUAGCAAAGAGACUAAACACAACUCACCUACUCUCUUCCAGCAGCCGCUUGUUUGUAGAGAGACCUCAGGCCAGUCCAUUAUGGACUACAGCGGGG